rnacentral:rRNA from 1 species
CUUGGAGGUUGUGCCCUUGAGGCGUGGCUUCCGGAGCUAACGCGUUAAGUCGACCGCCUGGGGAGUACGGCCGCAAGGUUAAAACUCAAAUGAAUUGACGGGGGCCCGCACAAGCGGUGGAGCAUGUGGUUUAAUUCGAUGCAACGCGAAGAACCUUACCUACUCUUGACAUCCAGAGAAUUCGCUAGAGAUAGCUUAGUGCCUUCGGGAACUCUGAGACAGGUGCUGCAUGGCUGUCGUCAGCUCGUGUUGUGAAAUGUUGGGUUAAGUCCCGCAACGAGCGCAACCCUUAUCCUUUGUUGCCAGCACGUAAUGGUGGGAACUCAAAGGAGACUGCCGGUGAUAAACCGGAGGAAGGUGGGGAUGACGUCAAGUCAUCAUGGCCCUUACGAGUAGGGCUACACACGUGCUACAAUGGCGUAUACAAAGAGAAGCGAACUCGCGAGAGCCAGCGGACCUCAUAAAGUACGUCGUAGUCCGGAUCGGAGUCUGCAACUCGACUCCGUGAAGUCGGAAUCGCUAGUAAUCGUAGAUCAGAAUGCUACGGUGAAUACGUUCCCGGGCCUUGCACACACCGCCCGUCAA